rnacentral:rRNA from 1 species
AUUGAACGCUGGCGGCAGGCCUAACACAUGCAAGUCGAGCGAGCGGCGGACGGGUGAGUAAUGUCUGGGAAACUGCCUGAUGGAGGGGGAUAACUACUGGAAACGGUAGCUAAUACCGCAUACCAUCAGAUGGGCCCAGAUGGGAUUAGCUGGUAGGUGGGGUAACGGCUCACCUAGGAGACGAUCCCUAGCUGGUCUGAGAGGAUGACCAGCCACACUGGAACUCAGACACGGUCCAGCCUCCUACGGGAGGCGGCAGUGGGGAAUAUUGCACAAUGGGCGCAAGCCUGAUGCAGCCAUGCCGCGUGUGUGAGGAAGGCCUUCGGGUUGUAAAGCACUUUCAGCGGGGAGGCGUUACCCGCAGAAGAAGCACCGGCUAACUCCGUGCCAGCAGCCGCGGUAAUUC